AACGAACGCUGGCGGCAUGCCUAACACAUGCAAGUCGAACGAGACCUUCGGGUCUAGUGGCGCACGGGUGCGUAACGCGUGGGAAUCUGCCCUUGGGUCCGGAAUAACUCAGAGAAAUUUGAGCUAAUACCGGAUGAUGACGUAAGUCCAAAGAUUUAUCGCCCAGGGAUGAGCCCGCGUAGGAUUAGCUAGUUGGUGAGGUAAAGGCUCACCAAGGCGACGAUCCUUAGCNGGUCUGAGAGGAUGAUCAGCCACACUGGGACUGAGACACGGCCCAGACUCCUACGGGAGGCAGCAGUGGGGAAUAUUGGACAAUGGGCGAAAGCCUGAUCCAGCAAUGCCGCGUGAGUGAUGAAGGCCUUAGGGUUGUAAAGCUCUUUUACCCGGGAUGAUAAUGACAGUACCGGGAG
rnacentral:rRNA from 1 species